GAUGAACGCUGGCGGCGUGCCUAAUACAUGCAAGUCGAGCGAACGGACGAGAAGCUUGCUUCUCUGAUGUUAGCGGCGGACGGGUGAGUAACACGUGGAUAACCUACCUAUAAGACUGGGAUAACUUCGGGAAACCGGAGCUAAUACCGGAUAAUAUUUUGAACCGCAUGGUUCAGAAGUGAAAGACGGUCUUGCUGUCACUUAUAGAUGGAUCCGCGCUGCAUUAGCUAGUUGGUAAGGUAACGGCUUACCAAGGCAACGAUGCAUAGCCGACCUGAGAGGGUGAUCGGCCACACUGGAACUGAGACACGGUCCAGACUCCUACGGGAGGCAGCAGUAGGGAAUCUUCCGCAAUGGGCGAAAGCCUGACGGAGCAACGCCGCGUGAGUGAUGAAGGUCUUCGGAUCGUAAAACUCUGUUAUUAGGGAAGAACAUAUGUGUAAGUAACUGUGCACAUCUUGACGGUACCUAAUCAGAAAGCCACGGCUAACUACGUGCCAGCAGCCGCGGUAAUACGUAGGUGGCAAGCGUUAUCCGGAAUUAUUGGGCGUAAAGCGCGCGUAGGCGGUUUUUUAAGUCUGAUGUGAAAGCCCACGGCUCAACCGUGGAGGGUCAUUGGAAACUGGAAAACUUGAGUGCAGAAGAGGAAAGUGGAAUUCCAUGUGUAGCGGUGAAAUGCGCAGAGAUAUGGAGGAACACCAGUGGCGAAGGCGACUUUCUGGUCUGUAACUGACGCUGAUGUGCGAAAGCGUGGGGAUCAAACAGGAUUAGAUACCCUGGUAGUCCACGCCGUAAACGAUGAGUGCUAAGUGUUAGGGGGUUUCCGCCCCUUAGUGCUGCAGCUAACGCAUUAAGCACUCCGCCUGGGGAGUACGACCGCAAGGUUGAAACUCAAAGGAAUUGACGGGGACCCGCACAAGCGGUGGAGCAUGUGGUUUAAUUCGAAGCAACGCGAAGAACCUUACCAAAUCUUGACAUCCUUUGACAACUCUAGAGAUAGAGCCUUCCCCUUCGGGGGACAAAGUGACAGGUGGUGCAUGGUUGUCGUCAGCUCGUGUCGUGAGAUGUUGGGUUAAGUCCCGCAGCGAGCGCAACCCUUAAGCUUAGUUGCCAUCAUUAAGUUGGGCACUCUAAGUUGACUGCCGGUGACAAACCGGAGGAAGGUGGGGAUGACGUCAAAUCAUCAUGCCCCUUAUGAUUUGGGCUACACACGUGCUACAAUGGACAAUACAAAGGGCAGCGAAACCGCGAGGUCAAGCAAAUCCCAUAAAGUUGUUCUCAGUUCGGAUUGUAGUCUGCAACUCGACUACAUGAAGCUGGAAUCGCUAGUAAUCGUAGAUCAGCAUGCUACGGUGAAUACGUUCCCGGGUCU
rnacentral:rRNA from 1 species